rnacentral:rRNA from 1 species
UUCCGGUUGAUCCUGCCGGCGGCCACCGCUAUUGGAAUCCGAUUAAGACAUGCGAGUCGAGAGUCUUCGGGACUCGGCGGACUGCUCAGUAACACGUGGAUAACAUGCCCUUGGGUGAGGAUAAUCUCGGGAAACUGAGAAUAAUACUCCAUAGGUCUUGUCUGCUGGAAUGCUUCAAGGCCGAAAGUUCCGGCGCCCAAGGAUUGGUCUGCGGCCUAUCAGGUCGUAGUGGGUGUAACGGACCCACUAGCCUACGACGGGUAUGGGCCUUGAGAGAGGGAGCCCAGAGAUGGACUCUGAGACACGAGUCCAGGCCCUACGGGGCGCAGCAGUCGCGAAAACUUCACACUGAGGGAAACCUCGAUGAGGGGAUUCCAAGUGCCUGUACACAGUGUAGGCUGUUCACCAGUAUAGAUCGCUGGAGGAGUACGGGCCGGGUAAGACGGGUGCCAGCCGCCGCGGUAAUACCCGCGGCCCGAGUGGUGGUCGAUAUUAUUGAGUCUAARWCGUUCGUAGCCUGUWUGGUAWAUCCUUGGGUAAAUCGGCCAGCUUAACUGACCGAACUCCGGGGAGACUGUCAAACUUGGGACCGGGAGAGGCUAGAGGUACUUCUGGGGUAGGGGUAAAAUCCUGUAAUCCUGGAAGGACCACCGGUGGCGAAGGCGUCUAGCUAGAACGGAUCCGACGGUGAGGAACGAAGCCCUGGGGCGCAAACGGGAUUAGAUACCCCGGUAGUCCAGGGUGUAAACGCUGCAGGCUUGGUGUUGGGGGUCCUUCGUGGGCGCCCAGUGCCGGAGAGAAGUUGUUAAGCCUGCUACUUGGGGAGUACGUCCGCAAGGAUGAAACUUAAAGGAAUUGGCGGGGGAGCACCGCAACGGGAGGAGCGUGCGGUUCAAUUGGAUUCAACGCCGGGA